UGCCUGGCGGCGAUAGCGCGGUGGUCCCACCUGACCCCAUGCCGAACUCAGAAGUGAAACGCCGUAGCGCCGAUGGUAGUGUGGGGUUUCCCCAUGCGAGAGUAGGGAACUGCCAGGCAUU
rnacentral:rRNA from 1 species